CCUACGGGUGGCAGCAGUGAGGAAUAUUGGUCAAUGGCCGGAAGGCUGAACCAGCCAUGCCGCGUGAAGGUCAGUGCCCUAUGGGCGUUAAACUUCUUUUGUGCGGGAGCAAUAAUGGUCACGUGUGGCCAGACGAGAGUACCGUACGAAUAAGCAUCGGCUAACUCCGUGCCAGCAGCCGCGGUAAUUCGGGGGAUGCAAGCGUUAUCCGGAUUUAUUGGGUUUAAAGGGUGCGUAGGCUGUGAGGUAAGUCAGCGGUGAAAUGCCCCCGCUCAACGGGGUGAAGUGCCAUUGAUACUGCCUGGCUGGAAGGCGGAUGCCGUGGGAGGAAUGUGUGGUGUAGCGGUGAAAUGCAUAGAUAUCACACAGAACACCGAUUGCGAAGGCAUCUCACGAAUCCGCGAUUGACGCUGAUGCACGAAAGCGUGGGUAUCAAACAGGAUUAGAUACCCCAGUAGUC
rnacentral:rRNA from 1 species